rnacentral:rRNA from 1 species
CAGUCGCCGCGGUAAUACGUAGGUGGCAAGCGUUGUCCGGAAUUAUUGGGCGUAAAGGACUCGCAGGCGGUUUCUUAAGUCUGAUGUGAAAGCCCCCGGCUCAACCGGGGAGGGUCAUUGGAGACUGGGAAACUUGAGUGCAGAAGAGGAGAGUGGAAUUCCACGUGUAGCGGUGAAAUGCGUAGAGAUGUGGAGGAACACCAGUGGCGAAGGCGACUCUCUGGUCUGUAACUGACGCUGAGGAGCGAAAGCGUGGGGAGCGAACAGGAUUAGAUACCCCCGUAGUCCCUGUCUCUUAUAC